rnacentral:rRNA from 1 species
AUUGAACGCUGGCGGCAGGCCUAACACAUGCAAGUCGAGCGAGCGGCGGACGGGUGAGUAAUGUCUGGGAAACUGCCUGAUGGAGGGGGAUAACUACUGGAAACGGUAGCUAAUACCGCAUACCAUCAGAUGUGCCCAGGUGGGAUUAGCUAGUAGGUGGGGUAACGGCUCACCUAGGCCACGCUCCCUAGCUGGUCUGGGAGGAUGACCAGCCACACUGGAACUGAGACACGGUCCAUACUCCGACGGGAGGCAGCAGUGGGGAAUAUUGCACAAUGGGCGCAAGCCUGAGUCAGUCAUGCCGCGUGUGUGAAGAAGUCCUUCGGGUUGUACCGCACCUCCAGCGGGGAGUCGUUACCCGCAGAAGAAGCACCUGCUAACUCCGUGCCAGCAGCCGCGGUAAUUC